AUGAGGUCAUGGCUGGGUGUGGUGACUCACACCUGUAAUCCCAGCACUUUGGGAGGCCAAGGCAGGCGGAUCACUUGAGGUCAGGGGUUCGAGACCGGCCCGGCCAACAUGGUGACACCCCGUCUCCAUUAAAAACACAAAAAUUAGCCUGGCAUGGUGGCAGGCACCUAUAAUCCCAGCUACUCGGGAGGCUGAGGCAGGAGAAUCACUUGAACCUGGGGGAUGGAGGUUGCAGUGAGCCAAGAUCAUGCCAUUGCACUCCAGCCUGGGUAACAGAGUGCAAUUCCAUCUCAAAAAAAAAAAAAAAAAUGAGGUCAUUAGGGUGGUCCCUAAUUCAAUAUGACUGGUGUCCUCUUGUAAAAAGGGAAAAUCAGGAGAUAGACUUGCCUACGGGGAGAACAGCACAUGAACAUGACAGUCACUUCCAAGCCACAGGAAGAGGCCUGGAACAGAUUCUCCCUCACGGCCCUCCGAAGGAACCAAUCCUGUUGACACCUUGAUUUCCGACUUUGAGCCUUCAGAACUGUGAGGCAAUCAAUUUCUUAUAGUCAGCUGCCCAGGCUGUGGUUCUUUGUUAUAGCAGCCCUAGCAAACUAAUACAGUGUUGCUUUGUAAUCAGAAUUGGUUUUUAAAGUCCAAGUCAAAAUACCAUAAGAAUAGGCUUUGACCAAUUUCCUUCUCCUUUUUUUAGUCUCUCACAUUCUUUUUCAAGUGUGGUACCUUUUCACGGCGAAACCUCUGUGCUAUAAUACUAAAGUCUAUUGUCAUGAGUGAAACGAAGCUGGAUGGAAGGAAUUAUAGUAUGAAGUAAAUGCCACCAAGUACUGUUUCAGCAUGACAAGUAUCUGAAGAGCUAGGGAAUGCUCAAGGAGAUUAAAACUGAUCUUUGUGUUUUAGAAAAGUUCAUAUUAAGCACUAUGAACAUGUACUAGUAUAAUAAGAUGAGAGAAAUUUGAUGAAAACCAGGAGGUUACGUCAGCAGUCAAGCAUGAGGCUCUGGAGCAAAACUCUUGAUUUGAAGGGAAGUGGUGUGACUUGGUUUUGUAUUCAAUGUCUAUUCUUUGCACAUGGAGGAAAGACACAGUCCUAUUCCACCCGUGGGGUUCACCUGUAGUUGCUUCUUGCUGUUGACAUCAUGGUGGGGCACAGAGACAGCAUCUAAUUCAUCUUUGUCA